UGCCACAGGGCUGAAUAUUUCUAGAGA
rnacentral:piRNA from 1 species